CCUACGGGCGGCUGCAGUGGGGAAUAUUGCACAAUGGGCGCAAGUCUGAUGCAGCCAUGCCGCGUGUGUGAAGAAGGCCUUCGGGUUGUAAAGCACUUUCAGCGGGGAGGAAGGCGGUGAGGUUAAUAACCUCAUCGAUUGACGUUACCCGCACAAGAAGCACCGGCUAACUCCGUGCCAGCAGCCGCGGUAAUACGGAGGGUGCAAGCGUUAAUCGGAAUUACUGGGCGUAAAGCGCACGCAGGCGGUCUGUCAAGUCGGAUGUGAAAUCCCCGGGCUCAACCUGGGAACUGCAUUCGAAACUGGCAGGCUAGAGUCUUGUAGAGGGGGGUAGAAUUCCAGGUGUAGCGGUGAAAUGCGUAGAGAUCUGGAGGAAUACCGGUGGCGAAGGCGGCCCCCUGGACAAAGACUGACGCUCAGGUGCGAAAGCGUGGGGAGCAAACAGGAUUAGAUACCCUAGUAGUC
rnacentral:rRNA from 1 species